rnacentral:piRNA from 1 species
UGGUGACAUAGAGCAGCUUUUCCUCUC